GUGACAGCUUUGAGUCCAUAUUCACCCAUUUAUUUAAAGGGGUUUUUUCCCUAAAGUGUAUUUGCAAAUACACUAUGAGGCUAGAGGUUGCCAGAGGCCAUUAGAGAGGAGGCAUGGAAAGCCCCCUGGAGAGCAAGAAGAAGGCUGGAACCUGGGCCAAGGCAGCCCAGGACUGAGAGCCAAGUAAGCAUGGGAAUUGUCCCAGCUAUAGUUUCUGGGAAAAUAAAUAGGCCUACCUGUUGACUUUUGACCUGCAGACUCCGUUCUUGCAAAAGGCAAACCAGACCAUACACUUUGGGGAUUCCCGCAAGAAGAUUCCUAAAACUGAAACUGGGGACUCUAGGAGGACACACAUCAUUAAGGAACUGGGCUUUCCUCUGAAGAGACUACCAAUUUGCAUUCCACCUACAAUGGAUGAGAAUCUCCAUCCUCCAAAGAUGAAAAAGAGGAUAUUAUCAUUCUUUUUAAUCUUUGCCAUCUGGAAGUUGCAUUCUGCUGAGCCCAGGAGUUAGAGAACAGACCACAGAGAUUUAAGUUCUCACUUGCGGGAAGUAGAUUUCAGUCCGCAUCCCAGCUCUGAAGCCCCAUUUCUCCUGGUGUAAAAUGAGCACCCGCUAAGCUCAAUAAGAACAGAGAAAGGAGUUUCUGAUGCACUGC
ensembl:lncRNA